rnacentral:rRNA from 1 species
AGUGAACGCUGGCGGUAGGCCUAACACAUGCCAGUCGAACGGCAGCACAGUAAGAGCUUGCUCUUACGGGUGGCGAGUGGCGGACGGGUGAGGAAUACAUCGGAAUCUACUUUUUCGUGGGGGAUAACGUAGGGAAACUUACGCUAAUACCGCAUACGACCUACGGGUGAAAGCAGGGGAUCUUCGGACCUUGCGCGAUUGAAUGAGCCGAUGUCGGAUUAGCUAGUUGGCGGGGUAAAGGCCCACCAAGGCGACGAUCCGUAGCUGGUCUGAGAGGAUGAUCAGUCACACUGGAACUGAGACACGGUCCAGACUCCUACGGGAGGCAGCAGUGGGGAAUAUUGGACAAUGGGCGCAAGCCUGAUCCAGCCAUACCGCGUGGGUGAAGAAGGCCUUCGGGUUGUAAAGCCCCUUUGUUGGGAAAGAAAAGCAGCAGGUUAAUACCCCGCUGUUCUGACGGUACCCAAAGAAUAAGCACCGGCUAACUUCGUG